CCCGGACCUUGCACACACCGCCCGUCAAGCCAUGGAAGCUGGGUGUACCUAAAGUCGGUAACCGCAAGGAGCCGCUUACCACGGUAGGAUUCAUGACUGGGGUG
rnacentral:rRNA from 1 species